CAGCAGCCGCGGGAAUACGUAGGGUGCAAGCGUUAAUCGGAAUUACUGGGCGUAAAGCGUGCGCAGGCGGUUCGCUAAGACAGAUGUGAAAUCCCCGGGCUUAACCUGGGAACUGCAUUUGUGACUGGCGGGCUAGAGUAUGGCAGAGGGGGGUAGGAUUCCACGUGUAGCAGUGAAAUGCGUAGAGAUGUGGAGGAAUACCGAUGGCGAAGGCAGCCCCCUGGGCCAAUACUGACGCUCAUGCACGAAAGCGUGGGGAGCAAACAGGAUUAGAUACCCCGGUAGUCCCUGUCUCUUAUAC
rnacentral:rRNA from 1 species